rnacentral:lncRNA from 10 species
CGGCUAAUUUUUUGUAUUUUUAGUAGAGACGGGGUUUCACCGUUUUAGCCGGGAUGGUCUCGAUCUCCUGACCUCGUGAUCCGCCCGCCUCGGCCUCAGAAACAUUUUCAAUCAGGCUCAAAGAAUGCAGGAACUGUGGGGCCAGGUUUCAUAUAAAAUGCGUUUUAGAGUUCACUUGGUGAGAUAUUCCCCUCAAAGAGCACAGGGACUUGAUUCCCCAGCACUCUCCUGCCUCUGGAUCUUUGCUCAAGCUGUUGUCUCUGUCUGGAGUGCCCUUCACCUCCAUGUCUGCUUGUUGAAGAUUUGCUGCCUCUAGGACACCUCUUCCAAGAAGCUUUCUGGAACCUUCUCCAAGUCGGAAUUAUGGUUUUUCUCAGGCAUUGCACAUGGCUUGUGCCAUUCACUGCUGACUGCUUUGCAUUAGGGUUCUUUUGGUCUUAGAGCCCUGUAGCUGAUUUAUUAAAGGUGUGGGCUGCCUAGGAUGGUGGUUUCCUGCCAUGGCUUCACAUUAGAACCACCUGGGGAGCCUUGACUCACCUGGCCAAGUGGAAACCAGCAUCAGUAUAUUUCGAGAGCUCCUCAGGUGGUUCUAAUGUGCAACCAGGAAUAAGAGCCUUGCACUGAGACCUCCUCCCAUCUCAUGCAUGGAAUUUUUCUUGCAUCUGUUCUUCCAGCUCACAGGCCCCUUCCCCUCACGACAUGGAAAGAGAGAUGAGUUUCCACUAAGACAAGACCUUAGCUCUGACUUGAUGUCUUAAGCAGGAGAUGUAAAACCUAACUCACAGUGUCCGCGGGGUCCUGAAUUUCUGUUCCACCCCUUUCAGCCAACUGGCAGCUUGGACUGGAGUUAGCGACAGAUGUCUUCUGAGCAGGACUUACAGAUAUUCCCCAGCUCUGAAGGAGGGCAACAUGGAUAUUCUUGUUUUGAA